rnacentral:rRNA from 1 species
AUUGAACGCUGGCGGCAUGCCUUACACAUGCAAGUCGAACGGCAGCAUGGAAGAGCUUGCUCUUCUGAUGGCGAGUGGCGAACGGGUGAGUAAAGCAUCGGAACGUACCGUGUAAUGGGGGAUAACGUAGCGAAAGUUACGCUAAUACCGCAUACGACCUGAGGGUGAAAGCAGGGGAUCGCAAGACCUUGCGUUAUAUGAGCGGCCGAUGUCAGAUUAGCUAGUUGGUAGGGUAAAGGCCUACCAAGGCGACGAUCUGUAGCGGGUCUGAGAGGAUGGUCCGCCACACUGGGACUGAGACACGGCCCAGACUCCUACGGGAGGCAGCAGUGGGGAAUUUUGGACAAUGGGGGCAACCCUGAUCCAGCCAUGCCGCGUGAGUGAAGAAGGCCUUCGGGUUGUAAAGCUCCUUCGGCCGGGAAGAAAUCGCACAGGCUAAUACUCUGUGUGGAUGACGGUACCGGCAUAAGAAGCACCGGCUAACUACGUGCCAGCCGCCGCAGUAA